rnacentral:lncRNA from 1 species
CUUCAGAUUAUUGUGGCAUGAGAAGGUGAGUGUUGAACAAGAUGGAGAAGCAGGGUACGUGCUCUACUAACUCAUGCAUUAAUUAGCAAAGUCAGAGUCCAGGAUUCAGAAUCAGCAAGUUAAAAUAAAUAUGAUGUUAUUAUUAACUGGGGCUGAGCUAGAGAUUCGAUAACGGGUUCGGUCGAACCCAGUAGUUUUAGUGCAAACCCUAUAUUUAUCUUAAGAAAUUCAUUGAAUAAGUAUAAAUUCUUAUUUUAGAACCCAGUAACUUCAAAUUCUGGUGUCGCCUCUAUUAUUAUAUGUAUGUAUUUUAAAAACUUUAGCAUAUGCAUACAUUAUUCGAGUCGAAAACAAGUUUCAGUUGAACUCACGGGAUUCAUCUUAGAUCCGACUCUAUUUGUUAGUCGGCUCCAGAAGUUUUAUGCGGUUAACCUACCACGUAAUAAAUACUACUAGUACUAUAUAUAUAUAUCACAUUCAGUGUGUUAAAUGAGUUAGUUCUUCAUGUGCCCAUCUUCCCCAUCACGACCACUCAACCUUAAUUAUUAUAUGUACGAUUUGCUGUGCCAAAGCUUUGCAGAGCUCUUUUCCCAGCAUUGACAGGUAAGUAAUUUUGUUCAUUUUUCUGAUUUUAACAAUAGCAUAAAAUUUGUUAUGCAUUGGUUUGUUCUUCUACUUGCUUGAGAAAGAAUUUCAGAGCUUUUUAAUGAUCAUGUAUAUAAUUUUCAAGAGAAGUGAUUCUGUCAAUGGGGAUGAAAGAAGUAAUAUUAUAUUAAUAUCAACUAACAGUAUAGAUAAAUGCUUCAACGUGGCCUAUUGGAGUUAGUAAAUAAUGUACAAAGUAGGAAUUAUAUAUAAAAUUAGGAAAUAGGAAACUUUGUGGGAACUAGAGAAUCUGCACCAGCCACAUUGAUGGCAUGACAAAUAUGUAUAAUUAUCAAAUAAAGCAAAAAAUAGAAAGAAAAUAAAUGUUUAUAUAUGUCUUAAGUGGAGGGUACAAAUUACAAUAUAAACCACAAAUACUAAUUUCUGGAAGCCGGAUAGGAGCCAGCAUCAAGUGCAUUGUCGAAUAAUUUACCACCAAAUAGCAGAACAAAAGAAAAGAAAAAACUCGUGCAAGUAUAUAUUGCUCAAAAUUAUUGGUUUCAUUUUCAUGUGAAUCUAAGUUGAAUGACUAAAGUUAACUAAGUUUCCAUGUACUUUCAUUGUGUUUUGUGGAAUCAAGUUGCAUUGUGAGAAAUCCAGCUUUUCUACGUUUGAUUUUUAGAAGAGCACUGGCAACCCAAAAAAUAUCAAGAAUCAUAGCCGAGACGAGCUGAAUUUUAGAACUCAAGUGGAAAAGUAAGCCAAAAAAAAAAACGUAAAGUGAAUAUAAUAAAGGAUCAAAUGAUCAGCUUCUUCAGAUCGAACCCCAAUUUUUGAGAAGUAUCAAGACCAGCCCAAAUAUUUCUAAUCAAUUUUUAUUUAUGUAGUAAACCAUAUAGGAGUAAUUUAUUUUAUCAAGUAAAUAUUCUGCGAUAAUAUCGGGAAAGUACUAUACCUUUUUGAGGCGCGCAUACACAAGGGGAAUUCUUUUCUUUUCUGGCUACGGAUUUAUGGAACCUCACUUACUAGUUUGAAGUUGAAAAAUAGAUUUCAUGCAAAUUGCACGCUGAGCUUUUGGUAUAGGUGUCCCGGGGCUAAUAAUCUACGAAGAAAGGAGGGGAAAGGGUAGAUAACUUACAUAGUUGUGCAUGUUAAAUAAACUUUGGGCCACCUCAAAAGUUAACUCAUGGGGUGACGAUUGCUCAAGUCAUAUAAGAAUACCAAGUCUCCCAUCUAUUAGCGGAUGGGGGAGACUCAACGCCCUCGCACGCCCAGGCCUGCCAACUGGGAACGUAGACAAUAUAAUAUGGGGGCUCAAUAUCAAUGAAACAAAGAAUUGGGAUGGUCCAUUCGUCCAUGGAAAGAAUUAAGGAAGAAGGUUUCAACAGGCCGAUAAUUUGAACUAGUGUUUUCAUCGGACGAACAUCUCAGUAGAUGGCAGACUUCAGAAUCAAAUUCUUUAAUUUUUUCCUUUUUGUGUUCCAAACAUUUUGUAGUUCUUAUUACUGGUUCUUCAUAACUGGAGAUAGCACUAAAUUCUACUCUAUUCAUAUGUAUCCGUUGUGUUCGAUCUUGUAUUAAAGUUACAAAACUCAAGAGAAUAGAUCACCAUCUUCAAGUACUAUAUCUAUUUUUGAAAGAGAAUUUCGUUUUUGUUAAGAUGUUAUCAGUUUUGGGACAACUACCAGAACCAAUUUACUCUCAAUCAUAUUACAUAUAUACAACAAAUCGCUCACACAAACUCUUGUGGCUAAGUAUUGAUUGUAAAAGUGAAGAUAUUAUUGCAAAUGACAGAUGUUCCGCAAUAAGCAACGUUUGUCGGAGAGUUUAGUUAAUUGAGAGGCAGAUCCAACAAAUAUUUGUCAAAAUAAUGUGUUAAGCAUUUAAAAAUGCAUGCUAAGUAGUAGAUCCAUAAUUUAAAUUUAAAGGGUUCACUUUUUAAGGUUUUUAACAUUGAACCUAUUGUACUUUUAAAAUAAUGGGUUUAAAUCCAAUACUUAUUAAGAUUUUAAUAAAUUUUUACGUAUAAAUUCACACUCCAUUUCAAAAGUUAUGGGUUAAGUUGAACCCGUAGCCGAAAGACUACAUCCGCCCCUGGAGUCACCAUCGAGAAGUGUAAUGCAUGGGAUAAGCUCGAAUCCUCCACCCUUACACAAAGUUAUCAUGUUCGAGCUCUGAUAAUUAAGAAUUUUUUGGUAGGAAAUGUUUUGUCUGUCUUUGUAUACGGGUGAAACCGGGCCUAUGGAACACUCCGAUUUCCGAUAAGGUAAAUCAAGCAAGAGGCGUGAUGAUAAGGAGGCGGAAUCGAGGCAAGGGUCUCAUCGAGACAGGGUCCGGAGGCACGACGUCCGCCUUCGGAAAUAUCGGGGUCAUGAUCCCGGGAUCGGUCCAAAUCCCAAAAGACUUCAGAGAAUAUUAUCGGGCAACCGUACACGAUUAACAGAUGGUCGUGAUAUCCGUGACCAACCGAGUAUCACUGCGUAGAUCUCGAC